rnacentral:lncRNA from 1 species
UAACAAUGUGAAAAGCAAACUAUCAAAGAUUAUUAAAAGUAAACUAAAACAAGUGUAAGUCUACUAUUUUGAUUAUCAAAUUUCAAAGGCAACGAUUUUGGAAGUAAUGAAGAAAGAUAUUGGUGAAUAUCACCAGAUACUAAAUAUUUUGUUAGGUUUCUAAAUUAACAGGAAAAAAGAAGAAGAAGAGAACCAAUAUAACAAGGUGAAAUUCAAGAAAUCGUCGUGGGAAGCCAAGCCCUAUCCAAAAGGAAAAAAAUAUAUUCCAGACACAGUAACCGGUGUUUUGGACAUCUUCAAGAACUGACUUUCGAAUUCUGACAUCCUCCACGACUUACAAAGAUUCCUAGAAACAAAAUCCAAAAAGAAUUUGCACUCUCAGUUCAGUGGUUCUCCUUAGCAAACUGAAAAAAGAAAUCUUUGCUGAGAGAGAGAGAGAGAGAGGCAACACAACAUGAACACCACACCACCACCAGCACCAUUACCGG